rnacentral:tRNA from 2 species
GGGGGUAUAGCUCAGUGGUAGAGCAUGUACUUCUUGCACGAGGCCCUGGGUUCAAUCCCCAGUACCUCCA